GCACCGGCUAACUCCGUGCCAGCAGCCGCGGUAAUACGGAGGGUGCGAGCGUUAAUCGGAAUUACUGGGCGUAAAGCGCAUGCAGGUGGUUUGUUAAGUCAGAUGUGAAAGACCCGGGGCUCAACCUCGGAAUUGCAUUUGAAACUAGGCAGACUAGAGUACUGUAGAGGGGGGUAGGAAUUUCAGGUGUAGCGGUGAAAUGCGUAGAGAUCUGAAGGAAUACCGGUGGCGAAGGCGGCCCCCUCGGACAGAUACUGACACUCAGAUGCGAAAGCGUGGGGAGCAAACAGGAUUAGAUACCCUGGUAG
rnacentral:rRNA from 1 species